rnacentral:rRNA from 1 species
AUUGAACGCUGGCGGCAUGCCUUACGCAUGCGAGUCGAACGGUAACGCGGGGCAACCUGGCGACGAGUGGCGAACGGGUGAGUAAUGCAUCGGAACGUGCCCAGAAGUGGGGGAUAGCCCGGCGAAAGCCGGAUUAAUACCGCAUGAGACCUGAGGGUGAAAGCGGGGGAUCGCAAGACCUCGCGCUUUUGGAGCGGCCGAUGUCAGAUUAGCUAGUUGGUGGGGUAAAGGCCUACCAAGGCGACGAUCUGUAGCUGGUCUGAGAGGACGAUCAGCCAAACUGGGACUGAGACACGGCCCAGACUCCUACGGGAGGCAGCAGUGGGGAAUUUUGGACAAUGGGCGCAAGCCUGAUCCAGCCAUGCCGCGUGCGGGAAGAAGGCCUUCGGGUUGUAAACCGCUUUUGUCAGGGAAGAAACGCUCUGGGCUAAUACCCUGGGGUAAUGACGGUACCUGAAGAAUAAGCACCGGCUAACUACGUGCCAGCCGCCGCCGUAA